UACAGGGGGGGCAAGCGUUGUUCGGAAUUACUGGGCGUAAAGGGCCAGUAGGCGGCCAACUAAGUCCGACGUGAAAUCCCAAGGCUUAACCUUGGAACUGCGUCGGAUACUGGAUGGCUUGAAUUCGGGAGAGGGAUGCAGAAUUCCAGGUGUAGCGGUGAAAUGCGUAGAUAUCUGGAGGAAUACCGGUGGCGAAGGCGGCAUCCUGGACCGACAUUGACGCUGAGGCGCGAAAGCGUGGGGAGCGAACAGG
rnacentral:rRNA from 1 species